UGUUAGUGAUAAGGCGUGAUG
rnacentral:miRNA from 1 species